GCCUCUGUGACGUCAGCGGUCGGGAACGGAUGCCUGCCCGCGCUCCCAUAAGGCUCCCGUAAGGUAUCCUAGGCCGCAUGCGCAGAACGAAGAGCGGGGCCCGUCGCUGAGGCAGAAUGAGCAGUGCAGAGGCACCAUCGGGGGACCCCCAGGAAGAGGCAGCUGUGGAGGUUCCAGCUGUGGAAGUUCCAGAUGUGGAGGUUCCAGCUGUGGAAGUUCCAGAUGUGGAGGUUCCAGCUGUGGAGAUUCCAGCUGUAGAGGUUGCAAAGGUGCCCAUUGAGGAAAAUGCCAUUCACAUCCCAGCACCACUGCCACCACCUUCCUCCAGUGGAGAGCGAGAAAGGGGGCCCAGCCAGCGUACAGGCUGGCUCCUAGACCUGCUGGAUGAUGUCCGCUAUCUCAUCUCCUGCACCAACUGGUACUAGCAGCUCUCUGUGCCUUCUGCCAACAUGAGCCGGUGCAACGGACAGGCCUUGGCCCAGCCUCACCCUCUCAACAGGGCAGCGGCACCCACCUUGAGGGAAAGCGCCUGCAAGAUCUGUGAUUAAAAGGUCGGGGGUGGGGAAAGAAAUCUUUUUGGACAUUCUUUCUGUGGGAAACUCGGUUGCCCUUUUGAAGCUGCCUUGUUGUCACCUGGUGCAAUUCUAAUAAUGUUCCCUCCGCUUCCUGUGUCAACUGCUGUAAAGCUUUGGGCAACGUCCUGAGUCCAGCCCGGCUAAUUCUGUGCUGUAAUCCCAAGAGCCGCUCUGUUAGGGGCAAAACAAGAGCAACAGAAGUCACAGGUAACCUGCUUGGUCAUGCAUAAGAUGUUUGGAUGAAGGUAGAGGUAGCUGCCCCAUAUGCUAAUUGCGCUGAUGUUUGAUGGAGCAUGUGCACAACCCACAGGCAAGUGCUUAAUCUGCGAGUGCCUUUAUGUCUUCCCAAUGCCAAUGUCAGUCUCUCUCUCAUCCUGGUAAACCCCACUAGAGAUUGGUUCUAACCCUCUUCCUCACUACUGUAAUAUACUUUUAACAGCCCUACCAUGGCAAGAGGAAUACGAACUAUAUUACAGCGCUUUAACGAUGAGAAGUGCAAUGCUGUGACUUUGAUUUUAUGGGUGAACAGUGGGGAGCACAAUUUAUCCUCUAGGGUCACAAAGCACGUGCAAGUGGGUCGCAGGCUUUAUAAGCUGACCCUAAAUCAUUACAGUGCUAUCUCGGUUUAAGACCAGUCCAGUUUAAGAACGACUUGGUUUACAAAGUUACAGGUAGGUAGCCGUGUUGGUCUGAUGCAGUCAAGACAAAAUUAAAAAAUCCUUCCAGUAGCACCAAAGCUCGUACCUUUGAUAAACUUAGUUGGUCUCUAAGGUGCUACUGGAAGGAUUUUUAAAAUUUUGUUUUGGUUUACAAACUCCACAAAACCGGAAAUAGUGUCUUGGUUUGAGAACUUUACUUCGGUCUAAGAAUGGAAUCCGAACGGUGGAAGGGCACUGGUGGCGGGAGGCCUCAUUAGGGAAAGUGUGCCUCAGUUUAAGAAUGGUUUUGGUUUGAGAACGGACUUCUGGAACAGAUUAAGUUUGUAAACCGAGGUACCACUGCACUGCUUUAAUCCUUAACCGGUAUGAUGUAUACCUCUUCAAACCUGUUGUUUUAUUGACACCAGUAACUGAGUGUCGGAAAGGCUCCAGUCCUGGGAAACUUUCUGACGGCAGGCAGCAGAUCCAGUAACAGUUGUUUUGAGUACAACUGCUCAUUUCUGAUGUGCAGGCAGCAAAAGCAGCAACUACUUUACAUAUCAGAGGCAAGCUAUAGUAGUCACUCAAAACGACUCCAUGUACGAGGACCUUGUGAUGAGCUGUCACCAAAUCUGCCACCAGGCUGAGUUAAUAGUUAAGCCACGGGUGAUUUGAAAUUUGCUUAGUCAAAGUUUUUCCAUUACUUUCCUGCUGGAAAAAACAGAGAAGUCUGAGUGACAUCGCUCUGAUGUCACAGAGCUGUAUUUGUACAAGUGCAACUCUUUGAACUGACACGUGAUAGAUAGGACCUUCAAAUAUUAAUAUUUGGAGGUGAGGUUAUCUAAAUUUUGGCUUCAAGUGACCAAAAUUACUCAGUUAUCAUUGAGUAUCCUGAGCCUGCUGGUGAAGCAAUUUCUGUGCUGCUGCCAUUUGGUGGCACACAUCUUUGCAAUGAGGGUUUUUCAGCAAUUAUUGCUAUGAAGACAAAGCACAGUAGCAGGUGAUGAGUCAGUAAUGAUCUGAGACUGUGUCUGACCCUCAUCAAACCCUGCAUUGACCUACGUCGGCAGAAUGCAUUGCUCAGCAGGCCAUUGUCAGUUCUACCACCUCCUUUAGGUGCAACCAUAAAAGUCCCUGUGCUCCCUGGAAAACUCUGUUGGACACACAUUGAGGAUGCAAUGGAGGCAGCAAAGAAUGUCUUUGUUGCCUUCAAUGCCACUGAGGAGGAUCAAUAAUGAGUUGAAGUUAUUGGUUAUUAAACGUCAUCAUGCCUCUUCCAAAAGUUAACUUGUAGAGCACAAUCUUGUUCAUGUUUAAUUAAAAAUAAAACCUGCUAAGGAACUUUUCAAGCAUUAUCAAAA